rnacentral:pre_miRNA from 1 species
UCUUCAUCUCAUGUACUCUCUCGCAGGUCAGAGAGGCGAGAGAGCACGCGAAAUGAGGAGA